AGUGGAGAGACUUUGGUUGGUGGACAACUCAUUGUCAGAUCUAAGUGCCAUAUGCUUGCCAAGAUGCAAAGAACUGAAACUCAGCAAAAAUCAUUUUACAUCAUUCAAACAGCUGCCAAAACUACCCGUGAUCCAACAUCUGUCCUUAGAGGAGAACAAUAUUGAGACUCUGGAUGGAUUGUCAGACUUAAGACGCACUCCACUACAAUCUCUUGUACUCAUGAGGAACCCCUGUGAGUUUCAUGAAAACUACAGGCAACUCGUGUUCUGUAGCUUGCCAAACUUGAAAGUGCUAGAUGGAAUUGUGAAACUGCCAGAAGACUCUCCCCCACCAGAAACAAGUUUUCUCUCUAAAA